rnacentral:rRNA from 1 species
UACGUAGGGGGCAAGCGUUGUCCGGAAUCAUUGGGCGUAAAGAGCGUGUAGGCGGCCUGAUAAGUCCGCUGUGAAAUCUCGAGGCUCAACUUCGAGCUGUCGGUGGAAACUGUCUGGCUAGAGUCCGGAAGAGGAGAAUGGAAUUCCUGGUGUAGCGGUGAAAUGCGCAGAUAUCAGGAAGAACACCCGUGGCGAAGGCGGUUCUCUGGGACGUAACUGACGCUGAGACGCGAAAGCGUGGGGAGCAAACAGG